AUCCACUCCAUUGGAGUUUGUCUUGUGAGCCCAGGACAGGGAAUGCAAAUGUGGAGGCUGAAUGUGACUCUCCUGAAAAUGUUGGCUUAGAACUUCGCUCUUUUGAUGCUUCCUCCAUGAUGCUGCCAUUGUACCCUGAGAAGGAGAGACGCGAGCUCCAGCUACAGCACACAGCGUCAAAAAGCUGAGAUAUCUGUAGUCCUAGAUGAAUGAUGCAGCAUUGUCCUUAAUAGUCUAACAACUGAUCUCCAUGGAAAUCACCUACCAGAUUCAACUGAAUUUGAUGGAAAAUUUUUUUGAGAAUACACAGUUGAAUAAAUGGUUUAUAGUGGUGUUACAACUGAUGGAUAGCCUGAAAACAACCUUUGGCAGCAGUAGGAAAACGGAAGGGAAUGUUUUGCUUGGCCUCUGAACUCCAGAAUGGGGCCUGUUCAAUCUCUGCAGGAACAGCCCAGCACAGGUAAUUCAAAGAAGCUGCAAAGAACUGAAACACUCUCAAAGAAGCCUGAAUCAUCAGAAAAUUAAACAGCCAAACUCUAACAAGUUCUCCACUGGACUUAUGCAAAGGGUUUUUCUUCCAGGGCUCAUAUUGAGUCCAAAUUUUAAUGAAUCAUGCCAGAUAUGGCAAGAAACUAAUUCAAGUGCUAACACACAUUUGGCAUUUCUGUCCAAAUUUCAAUUUGUUCCUUCAGUGUCUGAAGAUGCUUGCUUUUCCCUGCAAAAAUCUUAUGUUUCAAACAUCUCUGAUCCAACCAGGGCAAAUCUGAGACCAGAAAGAAAAGAGAAACAAUUGUGCUUCAAAGCAAGGAGAAGUAGAUGCAAGCUAGAGGAGUUAGCUGAAAUAUUUGCAAGAAAAGAAUCAAGUUCUUAUUUUGCACCAGUCAAGUUAGAACAUUAACUGUAUGCAUGCGCUAAGCAGCACGUGUUGCCUAACCAUACACUAAAAUUAUUCCUGCCUCCCCCAUUCUUUUUUUCACUCUGAAUAUCUUAUGAACAAAAACUGCAUUACAUUUCUAAAUUCUCACAAAAUACCUCAGUUCUAACAGUUCCAACAAUGAAAAUAAACAAGAUGUUAUAAUCAUCACUACUUUUAAAAAUCUUUCUAUCUUCACAAUUUUCUUCCUUUUAAACAUCCUAUUGUGGAAUUCUUUAGAGUGCAGUCAAAUGUAAAUUCAAUCUUGUUUCUAACAAAUACAUUACAAAAAAUUCCUACUUCAGACUCUUUAUGGAUAGAAACAGCUUCUAUGAUCAAAAUCAGCUCAAGCUUUCCAUUAAAGUCAUUGGAAGUUAGAUCAGGUCUUGGUUUUCACAAAUAUAUGUAUAUAUAUAUUUAGUCAAUCUGAAUGAAAUGAGAAGAAAACAUGACACAUGAAUGGUACCAUUUUUUUUCCUCCAGCAAAACAUUUUUUUUUUUUCAUAAUUGUAUCUGAUGUUUCAAAAGCUACUUUCCCAGACUUCUUUUAACACAACUACACUGCCACUAUUGCAACAGGAUGUUAUUGCAAAAACGGAUUGGAAUUUUCACUCUAUCCCAAUCAAGAUUAACCAACUCCUAGCUAACAUAGGCUAUAGAUAAGAUUUCUAAGGGUUUUCUAAAGACUGUAGGUUUACGUAUACUCAAAAUAUCUAUAUUUCUCUUGCAGUUACAGCAUAGAAUCUUGGACUGUCGCCUAGAACAGACCCAAGAUGUGUAUCUCAGCAAGCUCUGUCAUGUGCAGUUGGUUAUAAAGCUUGCAGUUUUUAUACAGCUAGAGUAGUGCCUUAAGCAUACCUUUGCCUUUCGAGGAGAAGGUUCAAACACAACAAAAGUUUUGCACUCCCAGAAAAGUUUGGUGAGAAUGUCAGCAUGGCAAAACAAGCUGGGAAUAUUUUCUUAAGAGAAAUUAUUGUGAUGACUAUAAAUAUUAUUUUGCUAUUCUUUUUCUUAUACGUACUGAGUUUUCUAAUGAGAAGAGUUCCCAGAUGGAACAGCAGAAAGAGAGCAAAAUAAGUAGGGAAUAACAGUGUCAAGCGUUCAAGACAAAGAAUCCUUAAAAAAAACCCACCACCACCAACAAAAAAAACACAACUAAUAUCAAAUGUCUACAAUACAGAUUCCAGUGCAAAAAGAUUCCAGUGCUGUUAUGCUUAGAUCUUCUUUCUCUGUCCCUGAAAAAAUACUAUGAAGGAGAAGAGAGUCCCUGGAGGAAAGAUAAAUGAUUUCUUAAAAGCCAUAAGAAAGGUCAAUAUCAGGAUUAGAAAGACAUUUAGAUUUUUCAUCAGGCUAAUGUCCUUUUCAGGAUAAUAUCUAUCUGUACCUUCUGCAACUGUAAAAUUAUCAUCUGUCACUGAGCACAUUUCUGAAGAGUUUGAAAAACAUGCAGAUGGAUAUUUUGUUCUACAAUAUGUGAUCAGAAAAACAAAAAUCUAGUAGAAGAUUUU